GCUGGGCGUGAUGGCCCACGCCUGUAAUCCCAGUGGCUCAGGAGGCUGAGGCAGGAGGAUUGUGAGUUCGGAGCCAGCCUCAGCAAAAACAAGGUGCUAAGUAAUUCAGCGAGACCCUGUCUCUA
rnacentral:sRNA from 1 species